UCACCCUGUUUGGGAAAGGGAAAGGCAAGAAGAGGCGAUCAAAGCUCAGAAUCGGUGUGCAUUUGUGAAAUCAAGUCUUUCGUUUUGCAGAGUUAUCGGACCCAGGUCUUGCGACACCGGCCCGUUCUGGACACCUGCUGCAUACACACAUGCAUGUUCAACUCACCUUGGGACCAGCAGCACCAUCGCGACCGGGAGCACCUUCUGCACCAGGAGAGCCCUGUCAGCCAAGAAGAAAGAUGCCCACAAACACCAGCCCCAGAAGGAAACUGAACCCAGACUUUCUGCGCAGAGUAGUCAGAGAAGAGCUGAAGGGGAGCACUCACAGAUGGCCCGGGAAGACCAGGGAAACCUCUCUCGCCUCUUUGUCCAGGAAGACCAACCACACCACGCUGCCCAGCAAUACCUUGUGGGCCAGGAGUACCAGGUGCGCCCUACAGGAGGAAAGCGGACAUGAGCAUGAGAUGUCGACAGAGAAGAUCCUGGCUAGAAAAACACAUUUCAUUUUUGCCAGCAUUAUGCUGCACUGCAGAAGGGUUGGAGGCGAGCUGGGCAUAACCCAGACACUGUGGAAGGAUGUGUGGAUCCAGAAUUGGCCUCCACGGUCACUUAUGGACACACUGGUAAAACCAUGUUUAUGGAAGACAAUCUUACACAUCUACAAGUGAUCGCCAAAGAAGAAAGAAGACCCCAGACAGGCUGGGAAAUAAGAACAAGGUGGGCUUGCUUGAAGGAGAAGAACUGUUGGAUGUCCCGACUCCACUUUACGUUGUGAGUAAUGCCCAUGAGGCUUUCUACCCUUGCCUAAAGUAACCCACACCUUGUUGUAUCUUGGCUGGCUAGGGGAUUUUUCUUCAGGCUCUCUUUAAGCAAAGUGUGACCACACAUGGCAAGGACCACCUUUUCUACUGAAACACAUCCCACAUUAAAAAAACCCAAACACUUGGCAAGCAACAAUCUGAACAAAUGGAUCUGGUCUAUAAUGUAGGCAGCCAUUAUGUGGCAUUUCAACGAUGCUCACUAGAACAUCGCCACUAAAGAGGUGCAGCCGUAAAGAUCUGCACAAGCAGUGGGGAAUUCCAAAGCCAAUUUAAGGCAGAGAAAUCGUUAACAUGGCAGCUGGGCUGCCAUCAGGGAGCCAGAUGUUGCGACAGGGAGAUAACCCCAUGGAGGAGGGCCCAAGUUUGGCUUGAGCAACCCCGUUCAAGAGGAAUGAAAGGGUGAUGAACUGGGAGCGAUUUCCUUAGGAUGUGAAAACUCUGGGUUUCGAACAUGAAUGCAUUUUUGACUUGCACCCAGCUUAAGAAUGCAGAAGAAGAAGGUAC